AAAGAUAGAUAGAUUAAGCUUUUCUUAACUUUAAUUUGGUAGGGCUUGAUCCUGGAACAAUGACCCACGAUUCCGAAGGUGAUGACGUUUUCUUGACUUGGGUGUGAUGUGUUCAUCCUUUUUCUGCUGUGCCAAUGGCAGUCUCGGUGGUUAGCAGCACGAGGUCUUGGCUGGAAAUUUUGGUCUGCUGCCAGAACAUUUUGGCCCAGAGGAUGGUCACACUCCCAGACCACCACAGCAGCUCUGCGGAUCAUGUUCUGCUCUUCCCCUGAAAAGAGGAUACCUAGGAUGGACAUUAAUUCAGCCCAGGUAUAUAACUGCGGGCCUAAAAACUGAUCAAUUUGAUCUGCCACUCCAUAAGGAUCAUCUAAUAAUGGCUUGAGUUCUUUUUUUUUAAGACUUCGGACUUCGGAACCAGUUAAGGGAGCAUUUACAAGGCAAAUUGCCCCCCCUUGUGGUACCUCCCUUAAAAGAAAGAACUUUGAAGAUGAAUCCUUAGAAGUGGGGAGGGGGAAAGGAAGACUCUGAAUAUCCUUUCUACAUUGUUGUAUUUCCCGUUGAAGUCCUUUCUUUAAAGAAGGAUAUUCAGACUGACAAAACUUGGGUCCCUGGGACAAUAACUUCCAGGAGUCCGGGUUGUAUGGGGGAGGAAUAACCUGAGUAUGAGGAUCCAGAGGAGAGUCUG
rnacentral:lncRNA from 10 species